rnacentral:rRNA from 1 species
GACGAACCGUGCGAACGUUGUUCGGAAUCACUGGGCUUAAAGGGCGCGUAGGCGGCUGACCAAGUCUGGGGUGAAAUCCUGCAGCUUAACUGUAGAAGUGCCUGGGAUACUGGUCGGCUCGAGGGAGGUAGGGGUCUGUGGAACUGCUGGUGGAGCGGUGAAAUGCGUUGAUAUCAGCAGGAACGCCGGUGGCGAAAGCGACGGACUGGAUCUCUUCUGACGCUGAGGCGCGAAAGCUAGGGGAGCAAACGGG